UCCGGGGAACUUUAGGAAUAAAGAGUCCGAACCAGGUCAGGAUCGGAAGGUAGCAGCCUUAAGGAUGUCACUUUAUGCCUAAAGCCCUCUCCGGUCUU
rnacentral:SRP_RNA from 1 species